UGUCUUUCUCGGACACUUUAAAAUGCUUACCAACAUGUUUGCUAAAUUUGCGCGUCUCCAACUCUCCACAUGCUGCUAUUUGAUUGCUUCAUCAAAGACCUCAUUGUUCGGUAAAAUGUAUUCUGCCUUUUUAUUUGUUCGGCGAACACAGAAAAUUCGUUUUUUGCUAUUUUCAGACAAAUAAUUUCGGUUGCCAAACAUUCGGUGCAUCCCUAAAUAAAACUCUGAUUGUGUUUGGGUGAAAAAAGUAAAAGAUAAACUUCUUGGAUGACAUGAUGGGGAGUAAAUCAUCAGUAAGUUUUCAUUCGAGUCAUCAGACAGUCAUCUUGUUGCUUUGUUUGAAUUCAAUUACCUGGUGUUAAAUGAACACUGCUCAGUGUCUAUUUGAGUGAACAUUACAACACAAGUGUAUAAAGUGACACUGAAUCAGUGUUUAACAUUAAUAAAAUAAUGAAGUAAUGAAUAAAGUGAUGAUUGAACAUUAAUAAUGAUGCGUGCUGUUAACAAUCAGAAUCACUUAAUGAAAAAUAAACAAAAACAGAAAAAAGACCUCAAAGCAACAAGAUGACUUGGUUCAGAUAACUCGACUUUUUUUACAUUUAUUUUAUUUAACGGUGCAGUUUCUCUUGUAUAUUAGACAAAGCAGGCCAUGUUAUUUAAUUAAUACCUUCUGGAACAAAUCUGGGUCCAUUUAUCAUUUCUACUUUCAAAUGAAGAUUUCUGUUCUGCUCAGUUUACAGUGUGUGGGGUGAGAUCUGGACAGAGGACCAAGGCGUAUACUAGGACAGACUGAAGUGUUGUUGCCCACAGGUGAUCCUUAAGCAACAAAAAGAGGACCUCUAAGAAGUGGUGUGCAGAUCUUUCAAAGGCGGGGCUGACAUAGAUCGGGACAGGAAACAAAGGCAAUAAAGAGGAACCUCUAAGGUUUAAAGGCGCUGCUUACAGAGACGAGGGCAGGAAACAAAGGCAGAAGACCUGAAGAGAAUGUCUUAUGAUUUUAAUUUUUUGUUAUGUACAUGCACAUGAUUAUUUACAAUAUAUUUCUAAGAUAUAUAAAUAUGUGACCUUGUAUAUGAAAUCCAGGCUAUGAUGAGAUCAUCAAAGUUUGAAUUUACUGAUUUAACACUGAGUUCAGUCUUUGGCGUGACCUUACUCAGUCAAUAUUAAAAAUGUCAAGAUUAUAUUUUCACAGAAUGUUCUUUGCAUUGUGUAGGAUGAUUUUAUGUAGGAAACAGUAGAUUCAGUAGACUUUGCUGGGUUUUCACAGGCCGGGUCACAUUUAUACAACAUAUGGGAAUUAUUAGCGACUAAAACAUCCAAACAGAUUUAUUUUAGCAUGUUAAAUGCAGCCACCCUUUGUUUAGAAUUUGGAAUAUACUCUUGUUUUUCAGUAAUUUCUUAAGAUGUCACCUUGGGGUGAUUUAACAAUGUUAAAGAAAUUUCCAUCUAUUAUGGGCUUGAAUUGCUUGUUUGUCCAAGUCAUUCAUUUAAAAAUG